UACGUAGGGUGCGAGCGUUUAAUCGGAAUUACUGGGCGUAAAGCGUGCGCAGGCGGCGCGUUAAGACAGGUGUGAAAGCCCCGAGCUUAACUUGGGAAUUGCGCUUGUGACUGGCGUGCUGGAGUGUGGCAGGGAGGGAGGUGAAUUCCACGUGUAGCAGUGAAAUGCGUAGAGAUGUGGAGGAACACCGAUGGCGAAGGCAGCCUCCUGGGCCAGCACUGACGCUCAUGCACGAAAGCGUGGG
rnacentral:rRNA from 1 species